rnacentral:rRNA from 1 species
AUUGAACGCUGGCGGCAUGCUUUACACAUGCAAGUCGAACGGCAGCGCGGGCUUCGGCCUGGCGGCGAGUGGCGAACGGGUGAGUAAUGCAUCGGAACGUGCCCAGUAGUGGGGGAUAGCCCGGCGAAAGCCGGAUUAAUACCGCAUACGACCUGAGGGUGAAAGCGGGGGACCGAAAGGCCUCGCGCUAUUGGAGCGGCCGAUGUCGGAUUAGCUAGUUGGUGGGGUAAAGGCUUACCAAGGCGACGAUCCGUAGCUGGUCUGAGAGGACGACCAGCCACACUGGAACUGAGACACGGCCCAGACUCCUACGGGAGGCAGCAGUGGGGAAUUUUGGACAAUGGGGGCAACCCUGAUCCAGCCAUGCCGCGUGCGGGAAGAAGGCCUUCGGGUUGUAAACCGCUUUUGUUCGGGAAGAAAUCCUCUGAGCUAAUACCCCGGGGGGAUGACGGUACCGAAAGAAUAAGCACCGGCUAACUACGUG